rnacentral:rRNA from 1 species
UACGAAGGGGGCUAGCGUUGUUCGGAAUUACUGGGCGUAAAGCGCACGUAGGCGGACAUUUAAGUCAGGGGUGAAAUCCCAGAGCUCAACUCUGGAACUGCCUUUGAUACUGGCAAUCUAGAGACUGGAAGAGGUUAGUGGAAUUCCCAGUGUAGAGGUGAAAUUCGUAGAUAUUGGGAAGAACACCAGUGGCGAAGGCGGCUAACUGGUCCAGUACUGACGCUGAGGUGCGAAAGCGUGGGGAGCAAACAGG